UCGAACGGUAACAGGAAGCAGCUUGCUGCUUCGCUGACGAGUGGCGGACGGGUGAGUAAUGUCUGGGAAGCUGCCUGAUGGAGGGGGAUAACUACUGGAAACGGUAGCUAAUACCGCAUAAUGUCGCAAGACCAAAGAGGGGGACCUUCGGGCCUCUUGCCAUCGGAUGUGCCCAGAUGGGAUUAGCUUGUUGGUGGGGUAACGGCUCACCAAGGCGACGAUCCCUAGCUGGUCUGAGAGGAUGACCAGCCACACUGGAACUGAGACACGGUCCAGACUCCUACGGGAGGCAGCAGUGGGGAAUAUUGCACAAUGGGCGCAAGCCUGAUGCAGCCAUGCCGCGUGUAUGAAGAAGGCCUUCGGGUUGUAAAGUACUUUCAGCGGGGAGGAAGGGAGUAAAGUUAAUACCUUUGCUCAUUGACGUUACCCGCAGAAGAAGCACCGGCUAACUCCGUGCCAGCAGCCGCGGUAAUACGGAGGGUGCAAGCGUUAAUCGGAAUUACUGGGCGUAAAGCGCACGCAGGCGGUUUGUUAAGUCAGAUGUGAAAUCCCCGGGCUCAACCUGGGAACUGCAUCUGAUACUGGCAAGCUUGAGUCUCGUAGAGGGGGGUAGAAUUCCAGGUGUAGCGGUGAAAUGCGUAGAGAUCUGGAGGAAUACCGGUGGCGAAGGCGGCCCCCUGGACGAAGACUGACGCUCAGGUGCGAAAGCGUGGGGAGCAAACAGG
rnacentral:rRNA from 1 species